CACGUAGGGCGCAAGCGUUGUCCGGAAUUAUUGGGCGUAAAGAGCUCGUAGGCGGUCUGUUGCGUCCGCUGUGAAAACUCGGGGCUUAACCCCGAGCCUGCAGUGGAUACGGGCAGACUAGAGGUAGGUAGGGGAGAAUGGAAUUCCCGGUGUAGCGGUGAAAUGCGUAGAUAUCGUAAGGAAGGCCGGUGGCGAAAGCGAGCCUCUGGACAGUUACUGACGCUGAUGCACGAAGGCCAGGGGAGCAAACGGG
rnacentral:rRNA from 1 species